AUACUUAAAAAAAUAGAAACUGACUUGAAAAAAGAAAAACAAUAAAAAGAAUCUGAAUUUAGAAAACAGGAAACCUACCCUAGUCAAAUCAAAGGACGGUUGGCACCCAUGACUAUUCGACUUUUCUUAUCACCAUCCCAUCUUUUUCUGCCGAUAGCACUCCCUAAGGAAGAUAAAGAAUCAAUUGCUAUCUACUUUGAAAUCACAUUCUUCACCAAGUUUCAUUCAAUCUGGCCGUUGUGCCCAUCGUCCCUCUGAAACAUUCUCUUGGCCUCUCCAACCUUCUCUCAUCAGUCCCCCAUAAUAUCGACCGAUUUCAUGCCCAUCAAGAUAUCUAAAUUUAAAGCUUCAAGACAUGCGAAUGCCUCUGCUACAAAUGGAUUCGGAACAUUAUUGUGAAGAGUCAAUUUUGAUACAAGUAUUUCUCCCCUCAAACUCCAAACCACCAGACCAGACGCUGACUGAAAGUUUGUAUUAUUGAAUACUGCAUCAAACUGGAUCUAUAUUCUCAAUCUAUUCUGGUCGAGAUUUUCUGUUCAUGAACUAGUUGGUUCCUGGAAGACCAUAUCAUCCACAACGCGUAGCAAAAUAGACGACACUGCUCAGUAGAACCUUUCGUGAACACCCAGUUGAUAAAGGACAUUGACGAAAUAUGUGGCAACUAUCUUCAACGUCGGAGUGGCAGCGGGGACAUCUAUCAUUGGAAAUGAGUCUUCUAUACCUGAGAUUAGAAAAAUGGGGAAUAAAAUCCCAUGAAAUUUUCCAAAUAAUAAUUGUGAUUUUUGUGGGUAGUUGUAAAUUCCAAAGCUUUCUGUAAAAGUUUUUAAUUUCAGCAUGUACUAAAUAAUUCCUAGGAUCCGUAGUAGCUUUUUGUAAUAGUUUAUAGGCACUACGUACUGAGCAUUUUCCCUAUUGUUCCCCUUUCCACACCUGAAAAUCUUCACGAUCGGUCUCUGUAAGUGGAAUCUGCAGGAUUUUUUGAGCAACACCCGUUUGAAAGGUUUCUCAAUUCCCGGGAUCCAACUAUCAUUCCAAAUCAAUAUCUUAUCCCAUCUACCCACUCUCCAACACAUUCCAUUCUGAAGAAGGCCCUUAGCUGUCCAAAUGCUUCUCCAGGUGAGUGAAGGUAAAUUUCCCAACUCAACAUUUGGAAAACUCGUCUGCGGAUAAUACUUUACUUUUAAAACUCUAGCCAAUAAUGAAUUUGAAAAAUUAAUGAGGCGCCAGCCCCGUUUGGCUAACAGUGCAAUAUUGAAUUGACCAAGAUUACGGAACCCUAAACUCCGAUUUUCUUUUAAAAUACAAAGGCUUUUCCAUGUGCACUAGUGAAUUCCCCUUUUCCUGUGACAUUUUUACCACCAAAAGUUUGCUAUAAUAUUUUCUAAUUCAUCAUAUAGAAUUUUUGGUAAUAGAAAGCAUGCCAUCGUAUAAGUAGGUAUGGCUUGUAAGAUGGCCUUUAUAAAUACUUCUUUUCCUCCCUGCGAUAAAAACCUAUUGCUCCAAUUAUCGAUGCGCUUUUUAAUUCUAUCCUUCAGAUUUUGGAAAGGUUCCUUUUUUCUUCCAACCAUGUUCGACAACCCUAAAUAACGCUCAGGCACAUUAGAACUGCGGAUUCUCAAUAAAUUAACAACCAUCUUUUUGUCCUCCUCCGUUGUGUUCCUACUAAAAAAUACCGUUGACUUUUCAAAAUCUACACUCUGGCCUGAACAAGAUCUGUAUUCAUGUAAAAUUUCUUUGAAUAAAUUAGCCCCAUGCAUGUUGCCUCCCCGAAUAAUAUGCAGUCAUCCACAAAUAAAAGAUGAGCUACCUGUGGCCUAUUCCUGCUAACCUUGACACAUUUGAAAAAACCUUCAUUCAAAGAAAGUCUCAUUAAACUUGAUAAACCCUCCCCGCAUAUAAAAAACAAAAAUGGGCUUAACGGGUCACCUUGUUGAAGUCCUCUAGUGGGUAUAAAUUUCUCUCCAAAAUGACCAUUAAUGACCAUAGAUUAAGAUACUGUAGAUAUACAUUUAAUAAUUGCAUCUACCCACUUCUAGUCGAAUCCCAUUCUAAUAAUUAUUUCCUUUAAAAAGUUCCACUCCACCCUAUCGCAUGCUUUGCUCAUAUCGAGUUUAACUGCCAUAAACUCCUUUUUUUCCCAAUCUCUUUUGUUUGAGCUCAUGCAGUAUUUCAAAAGCUAGUAACACAUUAUUUGAAAUUAGUUUUCCCAGCACAAAAGCACUCUAUGCACAGCCAAUACAUUUUUCAAUUACUCCUCGGAAUCUGUUUGCCAUAGCCUUUGCCAAUACUUUGUAAAUUACAUUGCAAAGACUAAUCGGUCUAAAUUGUGUCAUAUUUGAAGGGCUAGCAGUUUUUGGAAUAAGCACUAUAUUUGUGGAAUUUAUAGAACUAACCUCCAUUUCACCAUUCAAGAGGUUUAAACAAAAUAAGGUGACGUCUUCGCCAAUAAAAUGCCAACAUUUUUUGUAGAAUAUCGCCAAAAAACCAUCUUCCCUUGGUGCCUUUGUAAGUCCCAUAUCAAAGACGGCCUCUCGAAUUCCCUCUCUGCUGUAGGGUGCUGUAAGUCUAUGAUUAUCUUCCUCAGUAAUGCAUCGAUCGAUCCCCAUUAACAAAUGGUCAUAAUUCCCUCUUAUUUCUUUCGAAAACAAUUUUUGAAAAUAGGAACGUGCAACCACCUCAAUCUCCUGUAAUGUUUCCAUUUCUCAUCCAUCUUCAGUCUGCAAUUUCUGAAUGAAAUUUGUCCUCCGUUGUUACGAAGCUUGACUAUGAAAAAACUUCGUGUUCUUAUCCCCAUAUUUCAGCCAAUUAAUCCUAACCCUUUGUUCCCAAUAACACUCAUCUUUUUCAAUCUUAAAGUUCAAAUCAAUUUUUGUAUCAAUCAGCUCGGCUAAGUUUUCAUCAUCUCUUUUAGCUUCAGAUAACAAAGAUAAUUUUUCCAUUGGAAACUUCUUCUUUUUCUUUCUAUUUAUUUAGAUUUGCUCCGCCCAUUGUUUCAAUCCUAUUUGUAAACUUUCCAGCUUCUACAGCAAUCCCCUAUUUGAUUUCUCCCAUAAAGCUCUAACUUGAUCCAUGAAAGAAUCUUCCAGUAACCACCAAGCUUCAAACUUGAAAGAAUUAUUCUGUAACUAUCCUUCACUUAUUUUUGUGCUUAUUAGAAGAGGGUAGUGAUCUGAAAAGGAAUGAACUAGAUGUUGAACUUUCACCUCUGGGAAUUCAGCAAUCCAAUCUGAAUUUGCAACACCCCUGUCCAAACAUUCUUGUAUAUUCGUUUCUGGUAGGAUACCCCUCUCCUAGGUAAACUAGUUACCAGUAUAUCCUACGUCGUUCAAUUGGCACUCCUCUAAAGUUCUUCGAAAAAUCUCCACUUUCCGUUCGUCUCUUGGCAGACCUCCCUUUUUUUCACAGCUAUACAAAAUUUCAUUAAAAUCUCUACAAACAAGCUAAGGGAGGUUCAUAUUAGAUUUUUACCCUUUCAAAUAGCCCAUGAAUCACUCCUAUCUUGUACAUAAGGGGAUCAGUAAAAACCCGUAUAUCUCCAUUUGUAUCAUGCCUCAGAAUAUUCAAUUACCACAUCAAUAUGCCAUUUAGAAUAGCUCUAAAGUACAGUAUUGACAUUCGUUCUCCAAGCUAAACACAAUCCUCCUAUUGUGCCUUCAGAAUCAACCUCAAUACCAUUCAUGAAGCCACAACUUCUCUGAACUCGUUCCAUCUGUCUUUUUUAAAGUUUUGUCUCUAUUAAGAACACUAUUUGGGAAUUGUAAUUCUUCAGCAUAUGUCAAAGUCUUCGACUCGUGCGUGAACUCUCUAACCUAUGAACGUUCCAAUUUACUAUUUUCAUUACGUUCGGUCAGCUUGCCUCUUGGCAGACACCGAUAAUAAAGAAUUAGAAUCCACCAAUCUCCUGCUUUUUACCAUAACAUUACAACUCUUCUCGUUUUCAUUUGAAUUUUCCAUCACCCCCCGAUGCCCUUUUUUUCCCCUACUCUCCUUCUAAGAUACCAUACUCUGAAUCAUGUUCCAUAGUAGUUUGCACCUAAUCCUUCCAAAAUCCAUCCAUUUUUUGGAUAAAUGAAGAUGUUUCCCCUUCUAAAUUCAAUCCCAACAUUGGGUCCAAACCAUUUACAUUUUGUCCUAUAUUUUCCCCCAUGAUCUAACCCCUAGGCCUCGUGUAUCCUUACCAUGGCCUUCCUAUUUACUUUCCCCUUAUUUUCACAACCAAAUACUCUUCAUCGAUAAAGCUUUUCGAGAUUGUGCUCGCAAAGACAAAUCCUAGCCCAUCUUAGCAAUUUCUACUCCAAGCAUCAUUCUUGCUUCACAAAAAGAGUCCCUAUGCCCCAGCCGUCCAUAAUAAAAACAAAAAAGUGAUAGAAGUUCAUAUUUAAAUUUAACGUAUGAACACCUACCAUAGAACAUGAUCUAUUUUUUCCUCUUCAAUGGACGCCUAACAUCGAUCUAGACCCGUAUUCUCAUGAAAUUUUGAUUUUCUUUCCCCAGGUUAGAGCCAUCAUAUUCCAGAAAAGCCCCUAUAAAAUUACCCAGUUAUAUUGCUAAAUUUUCAGAAAACAUACUAAUUGGAACAUCAUGGAUUUGCACCCAAAUAGGAGAAAAUAUUAACGGGACUUCUAAUGGGUUUUCCCCCUCUUCAAAUUAUAGAGCAGUAAUAGAUGAUUAUUGAAAGUCCAUGGUGGACCUUUUAAGACUCUCUCCAUAUGCAUACUAUGAAAAAACUGAAAAAGGUACCUCUUUGUCCCUAGAUCUUGAAUUUGAACCCCAUAAACCGGAUGCCACAAAUUCGCCAUAGUGUUUCUCAUUGCUGGAAAGUGGAUAACGCUGGCUGUUAAAAAACAUCCCACUACUUGAAAUUCCUCAUCUCCUCUAUCCGACCCUGGAUCUAUCUGUAAUUGCAAAAUCUCUUCUUCUUCUUCAUUAAGCCUUAAUUGCGCUAAUUCAGUAUCCAUGACUGUAGAUUUGAAAAACAAGUGACAAAAGAACAGCGAUAGCCAGCGACUGUGAGAGCUCAAUUUGACUUUUGAAUGCUGGCUACAGAAGAAACGAAAAGAACAAGAAACACAAAAGACUCUAAAAACCUAAAAACACAUACCAAAGGCGGCAGACAAAAAACUUGCGAGGGUAGCAGACUAUCAUUUGCCAUGAGAAAUUAUUAUUAUUAUUAUUAUUAUUAUUAUUAUUAUUAUUUUUUAUAUAAGAAAUGAAACAAAGGAUAAAAGAAAUAGAGGUAUUCAAAAUAGAGUAGGAAAAAAAAAGAAAAAAAAAAGGAAAAGCUAAGGGUUUAAGGUUUAAAGCUUUGAUUGGUAAGUCAAUUAAGCUCUUCUUACUUAAUUUUAAUGUUUUAGAAGGUUUAAAAAAAAUUUUGUUGAAAUAAAGUUGAGGUUUUGGAAGUUCAUAGGUUUUUAAGCAUGGUUCAUGUUGAACAAAUUGUUGAAUUAUGAAUUUAAUUGAAUGAAUUUCAAGUUAGAAUUGAUUAAGGGAUUAAAUUGUAAAAGAAGCUAUAAGUUUUAUGUUAGAGGGACUAAAUUGAAAGAAACUUGAGAUUAGGGUUUUACUACGAAUAUUUGAUGGUUAGGGUGAAUAUGAUAGGAAAUUGAAUAGAAAUAAAGUAUGAAUUGAGUUAUAAAAGUAAAUGAGUUAAUUAGGAUCAAAUUGAAAUCUAAGGUUUGAAUUAAAUAGAAAUUCAAUUAUUUAUUGUGAAUUAGUGUUGUUAGUAUUCCUGAGUGAAAAUGGGAUCGUAUCACGAUGGAUUUUGUUAUGGGAUUACCACUGUCAACAAGCAAAAAGAAUGUCAUCUGGGUGAUAGUUGAUCGACUUACCAAGUUAGCACAUUUCAUAGCAAUCAGAACAGAUUGGACGUUGCAGAAACUUGCUAAAAUAUAUAUCCAAGAAAUUGUGAGAUUACAUGGUACUCCGGUAUCCAUAAUCUCAGAUCAAGAUCCUCGGUUUACAUCAAGAUUUUUGAGGCAGCUACAUGAAUCAUUGGGUACUCGACUUGGUUUCAGUACAGCUUUCCAUUCACAAACCGAUGGACAGUCCGAACGGAGAAAGAAAAGAAAUGAGAGGACCUAAUUGAAGAAAAAGGAAAAGCAAAGCUAAGGAGUGAAGGAAGACAUCAUCUCAAUCUUUUUUGUAACACCCCAAACCCGGCCCAGACGUUAUGGUCGGAUCCGACAUGCCACAUCGAAGCAUUCAAAACAUUUUAUAUUGUUGAUCCAGAAAAACUUACUUAGUGUUUUAAAAGAUGAUUAUAGGUUAAAGUGGAUGGAAGUCAUG